rnacentral:tRNA from 5 species
GGCGCGCGUGGCGCAGGCGGUGGGGGCGGCGCUGCUGACGCCGGCCUCGCUGUCGAUCGUGCUGGCGGCGUUCCC